GGCUGGUCCGAAGGUAGUGAGUUAUCUCACUUGAUUGUUCACAGUCACUUACAGAUUGAACUCCUUGUUCUACUACUUUCCCCCCUCCUCACUACUGCACUUGACUAGUAUAAU
rnacentral:Y_RNA from 1 species